GGUGGGCGGGAGGGACGGGACGCGGUGCAGUGUUGUUCUUUCCCCCGCCAAUAUUGCACUCGU
ensembl:miRNA